UACGUAGGGUGCAAGCGUUAAUCGGAAUUACUGGGCGUAAAGCGUGCGCAGGCGGUUAUGUAAGACAGAUGUGAAAUGCCCGGGCUUAACCUGGGAACUGCAUUGGUGACUGCAUUGCUGGAGUAUGGCAGAGGGGGGUGGAAUUCCACGUGUAGCAGUGAAAUGCGUAGAUAUGUGGAGGAACACCGAUGGCGAAGGCAGCCCCCUGGGUCAAGACUGACGCUCAUGCACGAAAGCGUGGGGAGCAAACAGG
rnacentral:rRNA from 1 species